CAGCACCUCAAGUGGUCAGGAUGAUUAUUGGGCCUAAAGCAUCCGUAGCCUGCUUUGUUAGUUUUCGGUUAAAUCCAUACGCUCAACGUAUGGGCUGCCGGGAAUACUGCAAAGCUAGGGAGUGGGAGAGGUAGACGGUACUCGGUAGGAAGGGGUAAAGUCCUUUGAUCUAUUGAUGACCACCUGUGGCGAAGGCGGUCUACCAGAACACGUCCGACGGUGAGGGAUGAAAGCUGGGGGAGCAAACCGGAUUAGAUACCCGAGUAGUCC
rnacentral:rRNA from 1 species